UCCGAUGUAGUCUAACGGCUAGGACGGUGUGCUUUCACCACGCAAGUCGGGGUUCGAUUCCCCGCAUCGGAG